AACGAACGCUGGCGGCGUGUCUUAAGCAUGCAAGUCGUGCGGCAAGGGUAGCAAUACCCCUAGAGCGGCGGACUGGUGAGUAACGCGUGGGUGAUCUACCUUUGGGAUGGGGAUAGCCACUAGAAAUAGUGGGUAAUACCGAAUACGUUCGUCGGGCCUUGGCCUGACGAGGAAAGGCGCUUCGGCGCCACCCGAAGAUGAGCCCGCGUCCCAUUAGCUAGUUGGUGAGGUAAAGGCCCACCAAGGCGAUGAUGGGUAGGCGGCCUGAGAGGGUGUACGCCCACAUUGGGACUGAGAUACGGCCCAGACUCCUACGGGAGGCAGCAGUGGGGGAUAUUGCACAAUGGAGGAAACUCUGAUGCAGCGACGCCGCGUGGAGGAAGAAGGUCUUCGGAUUGUAAACCUCAGUAGUCAGGGAAGAAGCAAGUGACGGUACCUGAAGAGUAAGCUCCGGCUAACUACGUGCCAGCAGCCGCGGUAAGGAGUAGUACA
rnacentral:rRNA from 1 species